rnacentral:rRNA from 1 species
GAUGAACGCUGGCGGCGUGCCUAAUACAUGCAAGUAGAACGCUGAAGGAGGAGCUUGCUCUUCUGGAUGAGUUGCGAACGGGUGAGUAACGCGUAGGUAACCUGCCUGGUAGCGGGGGAUAACUAUUGGAAACGAUAGCUAAUACCGCAUGACAACAGUUAUUGCAUGAUAACUGUUUAAAAGGGGCAACUGCUCCACUACCAGAUGGACCUGCGUUGUAUUAGCUAGUUGGUGAGGUAACGGCUCACCAAGGCGACGAUACAUAGCCGACCUGAGAGGGUGAUCGGCCACACUGGGACGGAGACACGGCCCAGACGCCUACGGGAGGCAGCAGUAGGGAAUCUUCGGCAAUGGACGGAAGUCUGACCGAGCAACGCCGCGGGAGUGAAGAAGGUUUUCGGAUCGUAAAGCUCUGUUGUAAGAGAAGAACGAGCGUGAGAGUGGAAAGUUCACACUGUGACGGUAUCUUACCAGAAAGGGACGGCUAACUACGUG